ensembl:rRNA 5S_rRNA 5S ribosomal RNA
GAUUACGGCCAUACCACCCUGACAACGCCCUGAUCUCGUCUGAUCUCGGAAGCUAAGCAGAGUUGGGCUGGGUCAGUACUUGGAUGGGUGACCGCCUGGGAAUACCUGGUGCUGUAAGCA